UCUGAAAACGCCAGAGGCUGCCUGCAGAGACGUCCUUCUGGGGCCCUAAGGCCCACAUACGGGCACCGACAGAUGCCAUGAAUAAAUCUCGCCACGGAAGCUAAAUCGAUACUCCGCGAGAGGAGCGGCCCCCAUAAAACGGCACACGCAUGAAGCAGAGCAGUAAUGUUUAACGGCGUGGAGCUAGCGGUCCGCAAGGCUAAUGACAAAAGCUAAAACAGCGGCGACUGGAAGCCUGGAGGCACAGCAGUGAGUCUGGAGAUUUAAAUGCGCCGCAAAUGCUGAGCCGCCGGUCUGACGCUGCGCACGCUCUUUAUUUUUUUUCUAGAAUCUUCGAACGUAGCCCUUUGGGACAGGAGCAGCCGCGCAGGCCGCCGUUAUUAUUAUUCUCGGAGCGGUGAGCCGACAGUGAUUAAUGUCCCCAAGUCGCUCCUCUACAUCUGCUGGCGAGCGCCCAGCACGAGGCCGGAACAAUGCGACCCGUUUUUGGACCAUUGAUCUGCGGGGGCCAGCAGUGCCCCCCGCCCCCUCAUGGCCACACCCCCACUCCAACACAGACCUGGCCCCUGACCGACUCCCUCGGGAUGGAGCUCAGCACACACCAGGGAAUCAGCAGCAACUGCAUGCCUUGGGUACCGUACUCACCGGACCUGGAUCCUGUUGGACACAUAUGGGACGUUCUAGGCCGACACAUGGCCUGCAGGGUGCCGCGUCCUACUGAAGGACAAGUGUUGGUACAGGCACUACAGGAAGAGUGGGCCAGGACACCCCUGGCUGUAAAAUGGUAACCUUAUUCAAGGUGUAAGAUCAAGAUGUACUUCUUACAUAGCUGUGCAUAAAGGUCAUAUCAGAUACCGAGUACAGUAGUGACACCUUUAUUGCCACUUGUUGUCUUGGUUGUCAAAUAAAUAACCUGUUACAAAUAUUUUCUCUAUCAUUUUUAGUUUGAUAAUGCUGUGCAGAAGGUUUGACAGGAUUCUUCUGAUGCUCAGUCUAUUAUAAAGGUGCCACAGAAACCUUUCUGAAUUAAUUCACAUCGUACUUAUAUUUUGCAUUAUUGUCUUCUGAUUUUAAGAAUUAAUAUCUAAGCUGCAUAAUUUUGCUGAAUACUCACUGCAGCCAGACAGACAAGAUGGACGUGUCUAUUACUUGUUCCUUUGUGUGUCAUUAUUCA